UACCAGCUCUCCGAGUGGUAGGGAUGAUUAUUGGGCUUAAAGCGUCCGUAGCCGGCUUAGCAAGUCUCCUGUUAAAUUCAGCGACCUAAUCGUUGAGCCGCGGGAGAUACUACUAGGCUAGGAGGCGGGAGAGGUCAACGGUACUUCCGGGGUAGGGGUGAAAUCCUAUAAUCCCGGGAGGACCACCAGUGGCGAAGGCUGUUGACUAGAACGCGCUCGACGAUGAGGGACGAAAGCUGGGGAGCGAACCGGAUUAGAUACCCGGGUAGUCCCAGCUGUAAACGAUGCAGGCUAGGUGUUUGGACGGCCACGUGCCGUUCUAGUGCCGCAGGGAAGCCGUUAAGCCUGCCGCCUGGGGAGUACGGCCGCAAGGCUGAAACUUAAAGGAAUUGGCGGGGAGCACCACAAGGGGUGAAGCUUGCGGUUU
rnacentral:rRNA from 1 species